GUGAGCAUGGUAAUGCAAUACAGACUGGCAGGACUAUGCCUGUGAGGAGCUGAUGCUGUAGAAUGAAGAUUUAAUCAGAUAAAGCUGAGAUACAGUUAUUUAUAGAACUACUGGGAAAUUAUAUCUGCAUUUAUACAUUGGAAACUAUUGAGUGUGUCACCUGAGCAAAGGCACAUAGGGAGCAAAGUGCUGGAGUAAUGCUAGGGGCUUGCAUGGUCUGGCCUUUGAAAUGCAAGUGGUGAGAUACGUCUGAAAAGAUUAAAGACAUGGUUUAUAUUUAGAUUGAAACAAGAGAAAAUAAGCUCACUGGAGUGGGCUUGAUCACAAGCUCACUGAUCACUGGAAUUGACUGUUCACCCAAGUUUGAUAAUAUCCUCAUUCUAUUUGGAAACGGGAUUUCUUUACAAUUUGAUGAAAGUUGUGUUAGGAACAAAGUCUCCUCAUUCAUGAAAACAUUAGGUUCCAUGAAUCCACAGUUAUCCUAGGACACUGACAUUUGUGUGAGCCUUCAGACUCUAAUGAAAUAGUCCAGCUGUUCUCACUUGGAAAAGCCAACUCUGAUGCUUUGCAAUGUUUGUGGCAAACUAUCCCUGUAACAAACUGCACUAUGGAAAUGUCAUAUAGAGCUCACUGUGCAAUACUGAGUCAAUACACUGUACACAUCUGAUCAAAAGAUUAAUAUUAAUGUUUAGAUAGUAUUUAUUGGUAAGAUGUUUGUUUCAAACAUACUACAUUGUGUUGAUACUUAUGAAUGGCCUAAUUACAAUAAAUUGUAUUUUACAUAUUGAGAACAUGUAUAUACUAGUUUUUUACAUCAGUUAGGUAUUUGUAAUGGUAGCUAUUUUUUCUCUUUUGGGGGAUUUACUUUUUGCAUCAUACAGUUUCUUAGAUCAUUUGUCCUGCAAAAAUGUAGGGUGAAAUGUAGGUCGACUAUAAAAUUGCUUUUGGAAUAUCUUCUGGAAAUACUCAAAGUGAGCCACAGCAACUGAGUCGUCGAAGGUACCUGAAACUCCACAUGAGCUCCUUCUGCAUUCAGGAGGCCAGCAUUCAAGUUAUGCUUUCCUGCUCAGAAGGAUCACAGCUAAUGUGAUGUUUUCUGUGCAGAAUCAGUAUGUGUUUUGUGGGAGCACAGGAUUCUCCUCGCUUUGCAGUGGGACACCAGUGGUAGCUGGGCACUGACACACUGUUGAGGGCUCAGGCUCUCACUGUUUGGGUAAAACCAGAUGUGCAGAUCUUGCGAUUUGCAUCUUGAGAUGCAGCAGUUCAGCCUUGUCAGUAGAGGAGAAUUGUGCUGGGCUCAGCUGUCCACUUCCAUGUAGGUUUUGUGGUCAGCAUGAAGUUGGCUGGUGGAAGUGCUCAGUUUAGAUGCUGAAAAAACCCACAUCCUUAAUUUAGGCACAUUGUUUCAUUUCCUUCCCUCUGAGGGGAAAAGUGCUGAGCCAGCUUGUUCUGAGUGACAGCAGUACCCAAACCGUCACCAGUUCCAGUGAAAAUGAAGCUGGCAUCACAUCUUGCACCUCUGUUCUUAAGAAGGGAGAAUUCCUGUGGUUCCUGCUCUUCCGGGCCAGUAAGUCAGGCUUCAUGGACUUGCCCCAUGUGGAAACCACCUUUUUGCUCCUGAGGGAAUAGUGAAAGCCAUGAGCCAGAAAGAGCUUCAACUUCCCAUCAGAUAAAUGAAGACAGAGGAAGAGGGCACUUAGGUAUCCAUUAUAGCUCUUACUCACUAAAGGUUGGCCAGGGAAGCGUUGGAAAACCCAGUGGUUUGAAACUCCCCCUUCGGUCUGGGAAGCUAUUUGUGUCUCAGAAAUGGCUCUCUUCCUUUCCAGAGGGAGAGGUUUUAACCUGUAUCUUGUCCUUUCCUCAGCACAUCCCAGCCUUGGAGAACAGCCACAGCAGCUCUGGGUGCAGCAAUGGAGCAGCAGUGUCACAUCCCAGAGCCUCAGCACUGGCCCUACCUUCUUGACCCGAGCUGAGAUUUUCUAGCAGGGAUGUGAAAUGGAGACAGAGAGCUGCGACUCGAGAUAGAUGCAGUGAAGCUGAGCAGUCCCAUGCCAACACGUUGGGCACCCGGAUCCUGUUGCCUGAGGAGAGGUGACAGCUUGCCCCCAUCCCAGGCUGCUGUGGCAGCACUUCUCCCAGCGCUGGUACGGGGGCUGCAUGGGACAGCAUGGUCACAGGCCACCACCUGAACCUCGCCAGCAAACCGGCACGGAGCAGGAAGCACAUGUUGGGUGUACCUGUGCUGUCUGCCAUAAAUCUCGGUGUGGUGUUUA